UUGCAAAUACUUCCAGAGCCGCUAGUGAAUCACAGAGGUAUAGUAAACCAGUAAAGGGCGACGAGUUGAAGAUUCCGUGGAGCGAGCGAGCGAGAGAGAGAGAUCUCUCUUCGAGCAGGAAUCAGAGAAUGAGUGAUAUAUCUGACCUCGACAGGCAAAUAGAGCAGCUGAAGAAGUGCGAGCCAUUGAAGGAAUCGGAAGUAAAGACUCUUUGCCUUAAAGCCAUUGAAAUCCUCGUUGAAGAGGGCAACGUCCAAAGGGUCGACGCCCCUGUCACCAUAUGUGGUGACAUCCAUGGGCAGUUUUAUGACAUGAAAGAACUUUUCAAAGUAGGUGGAGAUUGCCCAAAGACUAAUUACUUAUUUCUCGGAGAUUUUGUUGAUAGAGGAUUCUACUCUGUUGAGACAUUUCUUCUUCUGCUAGCCCUAAAGGUGAGGUAUCCAGAUCGAAUCACACUUAUUAGGGGGAACCAUGAGAGCCGCCAGAUCACACAGGUUUAUGGAUUUUAUGAUGAGUGUCUUCGUAAAUAUGGUUCUGCGAAUGUAUGGAGAUAUUGCACAGACAUAUUUGAUUACUUGAGUCUUUCAGCUCUCAUUGAAAACAAAAUUUUUAGUGUCCAUGGUGGUCUCUCACCUGCCAUAUCGACAUUGGAUCAGAUACGAACAAUUGAUCGGAAGCAAGAAGUACCUCAUGAUGGUGCCAUGUGCGACUUAAUGUGGUCAGAUCCUGAAGAUAUUGUAGAUGGUUGGGGUUUGAGUCCUCGUGGUGCUGGAUUUUUAUUUGGUGGAAGUGUUGUUACUUCUUUCAACCACGCUAACAACAUUGACUACAUCUGCCGUGCCCACCAAUUAGUAAUGGAGGGAUAUAAAUGGAUGUUCAACAACCAAAUAGUUACAGUAUGGUCGGCUCCAAACUACUGUUACAGAUGUGGCAAUGUAGCUGCAAUCCUCGAACUAGACGAGAAUCUUAAUAAGCAGUUUCGUGUGUUCGAUGCAGCUCCACAGGAAUCAAGAGGAGCCCGUGCCAAGAAGCCAGCACCAGAUUACUUCUUAUGAGAUGGAUUACUUGAACGUUUGCUCCGUUUGUCUUCGACACACCUAAAUUGAUGAACAAGCUUUGAAUCACACAGUGCCACCGAGAAUCGAUGAUUUUUUCCCCCAGCAACAAUCAAGUGGUUAAAUGACCCAACGAGAUAUGUCAUUUCAUCUGGUUCCUGAUUUAGCACAACACUACAUUUUGUAUUCCUUACCAUUCUUAAAAGGUUUUUAAGCUUAGAGGAGCAGUCCAGGAUGGUGAAGACUGAUAAGCCAACUCCACGUAUCGAUUCUUGAUGUGAUAGACACCAGUCAUAUAUCCAGUUUCAUCACCCGAGGCAUCGAAGAAAUAGAUUCUAUUUGCUGUACAUUCAUCCAUGUCCGUAGCAGGCAUUGAUACAGAGCAAUUCGGACUCAAAUAUAUAGCAUUCUCGCCGACAUUGUCCACCUCAACCCAGUCUCUGUUCUGCAACUUAUAUACCUCAAACAGAGGAUUACUUAGCUCACACGAGUAGCCGUAUGUGCAACCCAUCCCUGAUAGUUUAAUAUCAUCCCAGUAGUUAUAUUUCAAAAUAAGCAACAAAUCUGCAGAGGAAUCCACCAGGUAUGUAUCCACAGACAAGCAUCGUUCCGGCUUUUGUAUCGAUUUCUGUGUAAUUGAAACGAGACGGCCCAAAUCGAUGCAU